rnacentral:rRNA from 1 species
GAUGAACGCUGGCGGCGUGCCUAAUACAUGCAAGUCGAGCGAACAGACGAGGAGCUUGCUCCUCUGACGUUAGCGGCGGACGGGUGAGUAACACGUGGAUAACCUACCUAUAAGACUGGGAUAACUUCGGGAAACCGGAGCUAAUACCGGAUAAUAUAUUGAACCGCAUGGUUCAAUAGUGAAAGACGGUUUUGCUGUCACUUAUAGAUGGAUCCGCGCCGCAUUAGCUAGUUGGUAAGGUAACGGCUUACCAAGGCGACGAGGCGUAGCCGACCUGAGAGGGUGAUCGGCCACACUGGAGCUGAGACACGGUCCAGACUACUAAGGGAGGCAGCAGUCGGGAAUCGUCCGCAAUGGGCGAAAGCCUGACGGAGCAACGCCGCGUGAGUGAUGAAGGUCUUCGGAUCGUAAAACUCUGUUAUGAGGGAAGAACAAAUGUGUAAGUAACUAUGCACGUCUUGACGGUACCUAAUCAGAAAGCCACGGCUAACUACGUG